CGUGUAGGCGGCAUGAUAAGUCAGAUGUGAAAGCCCCUUGCUUAACAAGGGAACUGCAUUUGAAACUGUUGUGCUUGAGUUCGAGAGAGGGCAGUGGAAUUCCCAGUGUAGCGGUGAAAUGCGUAGAUAUUGGGAAGAACACCAGUAGCGAAGGCGGCUGCCUGGCUCGCAACUGACGCUAAUGCGCGAAAGCGUGGGGAGCAAACAGGAUUAGAUACCCUGGUAGUCC
rnacentral:rRNA from 1 species